GCCCCUGUAGCUCAGACGGCCUUUUUCAAAAAAGCGCUGGCGGAAAACCAGUGUGGAAAAGGUUGGAGAAGUAGGUAGAGCGACAGACUGUUAAUCUGUAGGUCCGCGGUUCGAGCCCGCGCGGGGGCG
rnacentral:tRNA from 1 species